rnacentral:rRNA from 1 species
AGUGAACGCUGGCGGUAGGCCUAACACAUGCAAGUCGAACGGCAGCACAGUAAGAGCUUGCUCUUACGGGUGGCGAGUGGCGGACGGGUGAGGAAUACAUCGGAAUCUACUUUUUCGUGGGGGAUAACGUAGGGAAACUUACGCUAAUACCGCAUACGACCUACGGGUGAAAGCAGGGGAUCUUCGGACCUUGCGCGAUUGAAUGAGCCGAUGUCGGAUUAGCUAGUUGGCGGGGUAAAGGCCCACCAAGGCGACGAUCCGUAGCUGGUCUGAGAGGAUGAUCAGCCACACUGGAACUGAGACACGGUCCAGACUCCUACGGGAGGCAGCAGUGGGGAAUAUUGGACAAUGGGCGCAAGCCUGAUCCAGCCAGACCGCGUGGGUGAAGAAGGCCUUCGGGUUGUAAAGCCCUUUUGUUGGGAAAGAAAAGCAGCAGGUUAAUACCCCGCUGUUCGGACGGUACCCAAAGAAUAAGCACCGGCGAACUUCGU